rnacentral:rRNA from 1 species
GAUGAACGCUAGCGACAGGCCUAACACAUGCAAGUCGAGGGGCAGCACAAGGAGCAAUCUGAGGUGGCGACCGGCGCACGGGUGAGUAACACGUAUGCAACCUGCCUUCAACAAGGGGAUUUUUUAACCCGUGAAAGACGGACUAAUACCCUAUAACACAGGGGUCCCGCAUGGGAAUAUUUGUUAAAGGACAACCGGUUGAAGAUGGGCAUGCGUUCCAUUAGCUAGUUGGCGGGGUAACGGCCCACCAAGGCAACGAUGGAUAGGGGAACUGAGAGGUUUAUCCCCCACACUGGUACUGAGACACGGACCAGACUCCUACGGGAGGCAGCAGUGAGGAAUAUUGGUCAAUGGACGCAAGUCUGAACCAGCCACGUCGCGUGAAGGAAGACGGCCCUACGGGUUGUAAACUUCUUUUAUACGGGAAUAAAGUGCCCCACGCGUGGGGUUUUGCAUGUACCGUAUGAAUAAGGAUCGGCUAACUCCGUGCCAGCAGCCGCGAUAAUUCACACUACA